CCGAUCCGAUCGUGUACUGUUAUCGUCAUUAUCAUCCAUUUUAUAGUCCAUACAAGAUCUAAAAUGGUUGGCACAGUUUUGUCUCAUCUUUUUGGGGGUUUUUUGCUAUGAAGAUGAUGAGGAGGAGGAGGAGGAAGAUAAGACAGUGAGCACGGGGAGAGCGGCAUAAAUAGAGAGCCACACCGCAGGUUGGAGAGAGCCUGGGCACCAGAGAGCCGAGUGCGAAGCAUUCAUUAUUACAAAUGUUACAGAUGCUUCAGACAGGGGGCUGGGGGCCGUACUCUCGCAGGUGGUGGAGGGGGAGGAGCGCCUGGUGCUGUACAUUAGCCAUAAGCUCUCCUUGAGGGAAACUAAGUACAGCACCGUAGAAAAGGAUUGUCUCGCCAUCAAGUGGGCGGUCCUCACUCUCCGAUACUACCUGUUGGGGCGGGCCUUCACCCUCUGUUCCGAUCACGCCCCACUCCAGUGGCUCCACCGCAUGAAAGAUACCAAUGCCCGGAUCACCCGUUGGUACCUGGCUCUUCAGCCGUUUAAGUUCAAGGUGGUCCACAGACCGGGGGCGCAGAUGGCUGUCGCUGAAUUCCUUUCCAGGAAUGGGGGGGGAGUGGUAGGCAGGCUGGAUGCCGCCCCAGCCUGAGUCGGGCGGUGGGGAUAUGUGGCAGCGGGGGCGUGUUCAAGCAUCUCUCCGGAGAGAGAGAAAGCGGUAAGGGCGCUUACACCUGAGAUAAAUUAUGUCUAACACCUGUCUCUAAUUUCAGUGAGCACGGGGAGAGCGGCAUAAAUAGAGAGCCACACCGCAGGUUGGAGAGAGCCUGGGCACCAGAGAGCCGAGUACGAAGCAAAGAGUUCAUUAUUACAAAUGUUGAGAGUUUAUUUUGUGAAGUGGUGUGUGUGAAUUCGGACAAGCUUAGUGAACAAGACAAAAACUCUGAGACUGUACUACUGCUGCAGAGAGAAAAAUAAAAAUCCUUACCUGAAC